rnacentral:lncRNA from 1 species
AGAGAUUCGUUUGUAUCAUUUUUUUAAGAUUCAACAUAUAAGUGAUAUUAUAUAUAUAUAUAUAUUUUACUGUCUAACUAACUUCACUUGGUGUGAUAGUUUCUAGAUCCAUCCAUUUGCUGUAAAUGGCAUUAUUUCAUUCUUUUUCAUAGCUCAGUAGUAUUCCAUUGUGUAUAUGUAUCACAUCUUCUUUAUCCACACCUCUAUCAACGGACAUUUAAGUUGUCCCCAUGCCUUGGCUACUGUAACUAGUGCUGCAAUGAACACCGGGGUGCAUGUAUGGGAUUUGGGAUUUCAACAUAGGGAUUUCAACAUAGGGAUUUGGAGUCUACAGCAGGGUGCAAGGUGGUUUCUGCCCCUUCCUUGCUCCCCACUUAAAUGGGGAAGGUAUGCCUCCUGCCCCAGAAACCCCAUCACCACCUACCUCCCCCCAGCAUUCCUUCCCUGGGGGUGUGUGACCCCUUCUCAACUCCUUCCUGAGUUCCGGUCGUGGCCAUCAGGGUGCUCACACAAUGGGCUUUCUGUCUGCAUGUCCCUGUGGGAUUUCUCAGCUGGCUUAUCUCCCACAGCAGAGGCUCCUGCAAUGAAGGCGGGACACGUGCAGGGCGGGCGGCUCUGGGCCACAGGAAAGGGAUACCAGUGACACAGAACACUCUUGUUUGCAGAGAAAGGCUGUGCUGGAAUGUGAACGCAGGCCAGCACCACACAGACGCACCUUGUUGGAAAAAGCAAGCUCACCUUUAAACCGGACUCAGAGGAGGAAGCAGAAACCCCACAGACAGGGAAAAAGCAUUCUUACUGCUUCAGAGAGAUGGUGACAGGUGACAGAUGACAGGUAUGGUUUGGCCCUUAAAACUGAGUGGAAUUUUCUCGCUCCAUCUCUCCUUUGUAUUAAAAGUUUUACAAGUUUAGAGGUCUCUUUGCUCUUUUGUAUCCCUUCCACUUUUUUUAGUCCAGACCCCAGAAAUGAGCCACGGAACCUCAAGAAGCUUCAGCCCUUGGACUUGGCCGUUCAUCAUGAGAAACCACAGGUGCACAGAAACUUGACCAUGAUUUUAGUGUUUCUCCAGUCCAGUAUGUAUAUCUUUGAGCAUAGUCAGGAAAAAUCUAAACCAUUGCACGUAACACUUUGUUCUGUGCACGCCUCCGAAGGUCUUGUAAUUCUUUGCGAAAUACACAGAAUUACAAUUCUCAGAACUCUAAGGUUUUGAAUAAACCUACUUGAGACCCUGGACACGCAUUCCUGCCAGACAGCAAAGCUCCCGGCCGAAUGGCUGCUGCUUGGCUACUCCAGGCAGCUGUCUUUGUCCCCUCUGCCUUCUUCAUGCAGCUAUCCUGGGGUCACGGGACCAAUCGACACUGACAAUAACCAGAAUAAGAGCUAACACUGGGCUCCUAUUGAAUGCAAGAUUGUAAUAUAAGUAGGCUGUUAUCUUGUUUAAACCUCAAACCCUUAUAUUAUUAAUAGGUGUUACUAAUAGGUAUUAUUAAAAUGGUAGUAACAGCCCCAUUUUACAGAUGGUAUAACUGAGGCUCAGAGAGGAAGUAAUUUGCUCAAAAGUUUUGUGUUGUUGUUUUUUUUUUUUGCUUUUUAGGGGUACACCUGUGGCAUAUGGAGGUUCCCAGACUAGGGGUCGAAUCAGAGCUACAGCUGCUGGCUUCCACCACAGCCACAGCAAUGCAGGAUCCAAGCCGCAUCCACGACCUACACCACAGCUCAUGGCAACGCCAGAUCCCUGACCCACUGAGUGAGGCCAGGGAUCGAACCUGCAUCCUCGUGGAUACUAGUUGGAUUCAUUUCCGCUGCGCCAUGACAGGACCUUCUCAAAGGCGUUUUUUAGUAAGUGGCAGAGAUAGGAUUUGGACCAGGACUGCCCAUCUCCUGAGGCUGCACUUCGGACCACUAAAAUACACUGCUUCCCAGCGGUACAACCGCAUCGUAAAUCAGAAUCACCAAACCACAGUUCAUGGUUCUCUGAAUUGCUGGCCCUAGAAAGCCUUAUGGAGCAGGAAACUAGAUCACGCGAUAUUAGCAAAGACCAGAUCUUCCCAUUUCCUUGCUGUGGAUUUUCAGGCUAAUUAACUCCUAACAACAACAACAACAAUAACAGUAACCAUCUCACUGUAAAGAUUGACCGAGAUGGGACAUCAGAACCUCGCUCAUCUCUGGUGCUGAGUAGGCCAGCCUCAAAUGCUAGUUCCUUUUGGAGGACAAUUACGGUAGGUUUCUAGUGUUCUGUUUUUCACAGCUCAAAGGCAUUUCAGCUCAGAAACAAGCCAUGACUGCCGCACGCGGAGAAAAUGUAGCUUCCACCAAACACAGCCAGACAAGAGGGGCUGGUAGACCAUCCAGAGCUCUGGGGCCUUCGGAAACUAGCCACCCAGGCUCUGCUCGGACACAAGCCGCAUCUCCAGCUCAGCCCAAUAAUUAGCUCUUCCCAGGCACGGGCCGCGGCAUCUACCCAUUUGGCACUGGUUUGCUGUGGUCACCAAGAUGGUGGGUGGCCCAACUGGAACCAACGCUGCCAAGUGUCCUCUAGACACUGUCCAGAGUUCCCAAGACACCACUCUCUGUUCAACAGCUUCUGGGACUUCUGGUUGUGUUUAUGUUCCACAGGGAAAUAAAGAUUUGAGCUCCAGGAUUGGAGACUGUGAAAACGCCACAAAGACACUUAGAGAUACCAGGGAGGUGAACAGCAGCUUCCCUAUGAGAUACCCAAGGUGGAUAUUACUGAGUCAUUACCCGGCCUCAAAUUCUCAACACGGCCCUAUGAGCAGAUACCACCAAUAGAUUCCUAUUUUCCAGUGAGAUGAAACACAUUUCCUGCCCUGAGCUCAACCAAACCCAUCAUUUUCUGGUGAGGCACAUGAGAUCCAGAACGGGAAGUGAAUUUCCUAAAGGCCACACACAGUUUCUAGCAAAACCCAAUCUUGAAUCUGCGUUUCCUGAUACAAACUCCGGGGUUCUUCCCUUUUCGGCAAAAUAAAUUUUUCGGUGUCCUCCCCCAACGCCCCCCGCCCCACCUCUUCUUCAUUUCCUCUUCUUCAGCGCCUCACCGAAGGCUCUAACCAGAACAUCUUUUGUUCAGAAGACAGCAUAUCCCGGCUCUGGGAGAACUGUGAUUCAGCAGGGCUUCAAGUCUGGGAUGCAUCCAAGAGGCCACACACAAAACUGCUGGUUCAAGCUGUGGGGGCAACGGAUCCCAGAGGGGUAGAGAGGGCGGGGCGCAUCCCCAGCUGCAGGCUGUGCCCCCCAACAGGGGAGCCUCCUUCCUAGACUGGAAGAGAGACAGCUGGCAGAUGAAUCUGUAGGAGGCAGACGGGCAGAGGCGUCCUAAGAUGGGAGUCAGGGUCAAUGUCAGGAGGUUUCAACGUGAGCGGUACACUGUCAGGGGAUUCAGAGCUUCCUUCUGCCUCCGAAGCCUUCUCCUGUAUUUUGUUUUUGUUCUUUUGCUUUUUUAGGGCCGCACCCGUGGCACAUGGAGGUUCUAAGACUUGCCCCAAAGCCAAAGCACAACCCAUUUAACCUUCACAUCUUCUGGUAAGCUAAAAAAAAAAAAAAAAAAAAAGU